AAAGAGCCUAAAAACUCUUCUAAAACACCGUGAACGUACCUCUUCUCUCGCUCCGGCAGGGUCCCCCCGGGGGGCUCGGCCACAAGGCACCUGCCGGAGGCUCCAAAGCCUUAAAACAGAGUCUUCUGAGUGGACGCAAAAAGCUUA
rnacentral:misc_RNA from 1 species